rnacentral:rRNA from 1 species
GAUGAACGCUAGCUACAGGCUUAACACAUGCAAGUCGAGGGGAAACGAUAUUGGAAGCUUGCUUCCGAUAGGCGUCGACCGGCGCACGGGUGAGUAACGCGUAGCCAACCCGCCCAUCACUUGGGGAUAACCUUGCGAAAGUAAGACUAAUACCCAAUGAUAUCUCUAGAAGACAUCUGAAAGGGAUUAAAGAUUUAUCGGUGAUGGAUGGGGAUGCGUCUGAUUAGCUUGUUGGCGGGGUAACGGCCCACCAAGGCGACGAUCAGUAGGGGUUCUGAGAGGAAGGUCCCCCACAUUGGAACUGAGACACGGUCCAAACUCCUACGGGAGGCAGCAGUGAGGAAUAUUGGUCAAUGGACGAGAGUCUGAACCUGCCAAGUAGCGUGCAGGAUGACGGCCCUAUGGGUUGUAAACUGCUUUUAUAAGGGAAUAAAGUGAGCCUCGUGAGGCUUUUUGCAUGUACCUUAUGAAUAAGGACCGGCUAAUUCCGUGCCAGCCGCCGCGGUAA